rfam:Mustela putorius furo unplaced genomic scaffold scaffold00069, whole genome shotgun sequence.
GCCUGGCUAGCUCAGUGGGUGGAGCAUGUGACUUGUAAUCUCAGGGUCAUGAGUUCAAGCCCCAUGUUGGGCA